rnacentral:lncRNA from 1 species
GUGGAUCAGAAAACCGCCAUUACCACUUGUCUUUGGUAUUCAUAGCCACUGAAUAAAAAGCAAAGUGAAAGAAAGACUGAGAGAACCCAUCACACACGCUUUGUCUCUGUGUGAUGCUCUGUUAUAAGCAUCCUUAGGCUUCAUUUGAUUCCACAAUCUCAGGCCUGUGACAGGAACCCGUGUCUUUAGAUGCAGCCUGCCAUGCUCCAGGCCUCCCACUAACUGGAACUUUCUCAGCCUAAACAUUUCUUUCUUAAAUUCCUCCUGAAACUUGGAGUUAUACCCUUGAUACCACCCACAGAUGUCUUUCUCCUUUGGCUGUUUAUUCUAUUAGCAGUUAUUGCCUCAUCAAUCCCCCUCUUUCACUAUGAAUUGGUACAAAUUUAUCAUCGGAUCCAGGAACUGAGAAGGAGGGCACAAAAUGGACUCAGGCUGAACACUCCAAGCCAUUUCCCUAAGUGAUUGAAGGAAUAUAGGGGGCACAAAAGCCAGAAGAUAAUUUAAGUAAAAAUACUGGUACA